AUGCGAUGGAGGUGGACUGCGGAUGGCAAGUACUCGGCCGCCUCGGCAUACCACAAGAUGUUCCAGGGUGCCAUCCCAACCAACGACAAAGCGAUCAUCUGGUCGGCCAAUGCGGCGCCGCGUGCCAAAACGUUUGCCUGGAUCCUGCUGCCGGGAAAGUGCCUGACGGCAGACAACCUCCGGCGACGGCGCAUUCCACACGACCCGGUCUGCCCGCUCUGCCGAGCGGCACCGGAAACGGCGCAACACCUCAUCGCGGCGUGCCCGUUCUCUAUGCAGGUCUGGGCAAAAACGGCGAACACUCUGGGCAGGCCCUUCUCGGAACUGGCAAUGCCUUCUGAUGCCCGUUGGCCGGUGCGGUUCAGAAGACAGACGCGAUCACUCCCGCGUGCCAGCAGGGCUACUUGGAAGGCCACCUGCUUGCUGGUCUCUUGGUGCAUUUGGAAGGAGCGGAACGACAGAAUCUUCAACGCCAAAGCAUGCACGCCGUCUCAAGUCCACUUUAGAAUCAUUGACGAGGCCAGAGUAUGGGUACAGGCGGGUCUAGCACCCAUGGCCACCUUCUUUGAACCGCCUUAA
rnacentral:rRNA from 1 species